rnacentral:hammerhead_ribozyme from 1 species
AAACUGCUGAGGAGUCCCACAAUAGAACAAAAUAGCCGUCCAGUGU